rnacentral:rRNA from 1 species
CCGCACGCGCGCUACACUGGUUGAAGCAGCAGGCAUUUUUCUGGGUCGAAAGGCCCGGAUAAUCCUCUGAAAUUCAACCGGGAUUGGGAUUGAGCUUUGUAACUAUCGCUCAUGAACGAGGAAUUCCCAGUAAGCGCGAGUCAUAAGCUCGCGUUGAUUACGU